rnacentral:rRNA from 1 species
GACGAACGCUGGCGGCGUGCUUAACACAUGCAAGUCGAACGGAAAGGCCCUGCUUUUGUGGGGUGCUCGAGUGGCGAACGGGUGAGUAACACGCGAGUAACCUGCCCUUGACUUUGGGAUAACUUCAGGAAACUGGGGCUAAUACCGGAUAGGAGCUCCUGCUGCAUGGUGGGGGUUGGAAAGUUUCGGCGGUUGGGGAUGGACUCGCGGCUUAUCAGCUUGUUGGUGGGGUAGUGGCUUACCAAGGCUUUGACGGGUAGCCGGCCUGAGAGGGUGACCGGCCACAUUGGGACUGAGAUACGGCCCAGACUCCUACGGGAGGCAGCAGUGGAGAAUAUUGCACAAUGGGCGGAAGCCUGAUGCAGCGACGCCGCGUGCGGAAUGACGGCCUUCGGGUUGUAAACCGCUUUCGCCUGUGACGAAGCGUGAGUGACGGUAAUGGGUAAAGAAGCACCGGCUAACUACGUG